rnacentral:ncRNA from 2 species
UGCGCUGAGGAGCGCUGCGACUAUCGUUGCCGAUAGCCAGGCUCAGCGCAGGCGACGUUUCAACCGCGCUCGUUGACU